rnacentral:misc_RNA from 1 species
AAAAAAAAAAAAAGAAAAAUUGAAAUACAUAAGCUAAUUAAUUAAGAAAUAUAUAUGAUAAAAUUUUAAUUUUUUUAGUAUGGAUAUAGAAAUUUAAUUGGUGUAAUUAUGUGUCUUCUAUAACUUUGAUUGUUGAUGAAUCUUAUCAAUUGAGAAACAUAGAGAGUGGUGUUAAUCAAAAUUAUAUAAUUAAAUAGUUCAUAUGAAAUGAUAUUCGAUCUCUUGGACUUAGCCUAGUGCCACCAUUUUCUGAAAUUUUCUUUUAAUUUGUCCAUUUGUAUAGCUGCGGUUUCUGCCAACAAAAUUGUUCAGUUAAAAGAAAUCUCAAUAAGUUAGUUGGAUUAUAUAAUAAUUGCAAUUGAAUUUGGAAUAAAAUAAUUAAAUAUAGUUUUUAUACUGAAAGUUGAAUUAAUUAAUGGAAUAUAAAAUAUAUAAAAAACGAUCGUG